AAUGACAAUAUUUAUAAAAAUAUGUUUUUACACCUCCUUAAAUUGAAUACAAAAAUAGUCUGUUUUUUCACCAUAAUUUUACUAUAAUUUAGAAAUACCGGCCCAUCAAAGUACAUUGAUUUGCUGUGAUGAUGAAGAGGAGGCUUGUGGGAAGAAGAGAAAGACAGACCACAAGAAAGAUUGAGAGGAGGCUGGAUGGACAGGGCAUUUCCCAGGAGGUGUCAUGGCUUUCUUUGAGAUCAAACCUUGCUGGCAAAGCCGCCAUAAACUGAUAUGUCAGCCAGGAGUGGAUGGCUGCUUGACUGUGACUGAUCCGCCACGGUUUCUUUAUUCCCCUCGAGAGCCGGGCUCUGCUGACUGAAGUGAUCCCCACGGCCCGGACGAAGAAGAAGAAGAAGAAGGGGAAGCCUCAGAGGGAAGAAGGAUAGCUUCGGAGGAGCCACGCUGAUGCACUCACGCUCACACACGCACACACACUUGAAAACUCAAACAAUGUCCCUCUCAGUUCUGGGUUGUGACCGGCCCAUGGCAUUGCCCAGAUGCACGUGGCCUUUGUGAAGGACACUUCCACGGCUGCUGUCCUUAAUCACCCAGCACGAUGCAUCCUGAAAGCUCUCUCCUGUCACUGCACUUGGCUAUAUCUGCGCCUAACCUGUCUGCCAUAUGUAAUAUCAAAGCCUCUGUCAGCAUGGGGCUGAAUGGGAACAAAAGAGAGGCCUCUAUUAAUGAUUAACUGUUCUAAAAGCCCCGGCUUUUGUAUUCCCAUGGUGCCCGGGCUAUCUGGCCACCAUGUGACAUGCUCACAGCAUUUUUCGAGCAGAUUGGGGGAAAGCUAGUGAGCAAACACAGGUGCUUUGGAGCAGCAUUGCCGACGCUGUCAGGGACAACCACAAACAAGAGCAGCUAUGCCUGGCUAAAUGAAUCCCCACCCCUCCCAGCACCAGCACCACCUCCACCCCCUCGGCUCUGUCACCAGCUAACUUGUUUGCUAGCUCCCUAUAGCUUUCUCCCCGCAAAGCCGUCCUUCUGGAUAGUCUCUAACACCCCCCUCUUCCAAACACCACCACCACCCCAGAUUCAAACCCCUGCACAAGUGCAGCGUCCGCUUCACAACUUCUCACACCCUCCAAAGAAACAAACAAAUAAAAGUGAGGACGGGCGACCACUUCUUUGAGGUGAUGGCAUUUGCUGCGGUCAUGACUAGUGGGAGAGCAAACAAAUUAAUGGUGUCCGGGGUUUUCACUUUCCAAACCAAACUAAAUGUCUUUUAGUUCAAGCGGGGCAAUUCCGCUGACCCUGGUGUCAAACGCUGCAUGAGGAUCGCACACUUUUGCACUUGAGAAGAGGCCAGGAGAAAUGAAAUGAGGAUGCGAGAACUGCACCUCAGUGGGCCAAGAAGAUCUCAAAUAAAAUGUGGCGUUUCAGUAAUAGAAAAUUGACCUAUUUUAAAAGGUUUUCUUCCCAAAUUAAAAUCGAGGGGCUCUCAUCAGAAUGAUUGGGAUGGAGGUGCUCUUCUAUUAAGUGUGAUAAGACAAUCAGAUGAUGGGAUGGCGUUAUCUUAACAUGAAUUUCCGGCUGGGAGACAAACGUGAUAAAUGGAACAAAAGCUUUGCACUUAUUGGUCGCUUCCUGCAAAGAAAGAAAAAAAAGAUUGCAGUUGGAAAUUCACCAUAGAAUUACAAGAAUUACAUUUGUUUGAACCAGAUAUCAAUAAAAACAAAUCUUUAUUUUAUUAUAUACAAUAAAUUAUACUAACAAUAACCGUCCUUUAAUUAUCUGCAAUUAUAAAGCACUUAUUAUUGAAAAGAUAAAAUGUUACAAGACAAACUAAUUAAAUUAUAAAAACGAGACAUGCAGAUCCAGGAAAAAGGGGGCAAAUAAUUUCAUGUUUUCCUUUUUUUUAAGAGAAAUGAAAGAGGUUGCAUAGGCACGUCUGGUUUUUUGACUUUUGUGGCCCAAUUCUGAGAGUCAGAGAGCAGUAUGUACUCAAGGAUUCACUCAGUGCUCUGUUUGCUCUGUUCCCCCCAAAAAUGAUUGGAAAAAAAAUUGGUGUUCUGGCAUGAAAUGUUUGCAAAUUGUUGGAACUGAAAAAAAUAUUGAAACUGUGUCAAAAAUGUAAGAAUAAAUUAUUUUUUGGGGGAAAAA